CCAGAAGCCAGAUGGUCCCGGGACAGGCCCAGCCCCAGAGCCCAGAGAUGCUGCUGCUGCCCCUGCUGCUGCCCGUGCUGGGGGCGGGGCGCCUGUAGUCCCAGCUACUCGGGAGGCUGAGGCAGAAGAAUCAUUUGAACCAGGAGGUGGAGGUUGCAGUGAGCCGAGAUCGCAUCACUGCACUCCAGCCUGGGCGACAGAGCAAGACUGUCUCAAAAACUAAAACAAAAAAACACCACCACCACCACCAAUGUCUGAUUAAAUCUAAGCCACGGUUCCAUUUUGGGGCAAGGGGCAGGGUGUGGGUGUGGUGGACAGAGAACGGGCUCCAGCCACCAUCAGCUGCACGUCCUGGUAGCACCUGAGCCAUUCCCAGUCUCCUGUGCUGGGAGAUCAUCAUCUAAUCCUGAUGAUGACGCCCUCCUCUCAGAGCUCGGGGGAUGAGCUGCCAAAACCCAUGGAGGUUCAAAACCCGGGCUCUGGAGACAGAAGACACUGGGCUCAGAGACAUGGGGCCACUGUCCAGGCUUUCCCUGGGCCUGGACCUGGGCUCCUUCCACUGUCUGAGCAGGGUCAGCCUGGGCUGGCUGUGCUGGUUCAAGAGAUGAGGGAGGAGGACACAGCGGUUGCCAGGACCCUGAGGCACUGGACUGGGCACUGCCCCAAGGGGCAGAGGAUGGAACCCGGUGUUGAUAUUGUGAUGCUGACCCGUCUGCUCACCUGAUUUGGGUGCUGAAGGGCAGCUGACCCCCCUAAUCUUUUAUAGACUUGUGAAACGAAAAUAAAUAAAAGUCAAGCUGGGAACAGCUUAGGGCAAACCUGCCUCCCAUUCUAUUCAAAGCCACCCCUCUGCUCACUGAGAUAGAUGCAUGUCUGAUCACCUCAGUUGGGAAAGGCUAAUCAGAAACUCCAAAGAAUGCAUCUGUUCAUCUCUCACCCAUCUGUGACCUGGAAGCCCCCUCCCCACUUCGAGUCUUCCUGCCUUUGCUUCAAGUUUUCCCGCCUUUCCAAAUGGAACCAAAGUACUUCUUACAUAUAGUGACUCAUGUCUCAAGUCUCCCUAAAACGUAUAAAACUAAGCUGUGCCCCAACCACGCUGACCAUGUCAUCAGGACCUCCUGAGGCUGUGUCACGGCCUGUGUCCUCAACCUUGGCAAAAUAAACUUUCUAAAUUAACUGG
rnacentral:lncRNA from 1 species